rnacentral:lncRNA from 10 species
UUCCGGAUGAGGAUGCCACUGCCAAGACAGACCCAGCUGGUAAGGGGCAAAGUCAGGAUUCGAACCCACCUCUGCAGGCCCCAGAGGCCAAGCACUGAUGGGUAUGGAGUCCCAGAGGUAGCUGUGUGGAUCAGAGCGAGCCCAGACGCACGUGGGAAGGCCUUAUCCCACUGUAAGCAGAAAAGAGCUGCAGGCACUGGAGGCACACACCCUCACCUCUGGGCAGCUGCUCCCGCCCAGUCCAUGCCCCCAGGCGCCUGCUGUGGGCCUGGGGAAUGGAGCCAAGGUUCUGGAAAACAAGGAACACCCUCUUCAUGUGGCCUGAACCCCAUAGGAAGAAUCUCGGUGAAGGCAUGAAGGCUACAGUGUCCCCAAACACCCUCUAAGACGACUCUAGACAUCUACAAAACAGAUUCCAGGACGAGACGGACAGGGCCGCCUGCUCCCACCACCCUACACGCUCCCUUCCCAGGAGGACAGAGGCACCCCGGCAGGAACCUGAGCUGCCCGGCCACUCGCACAGGCUAGAAGGGCCCCGGCCACCCUCCAGCACCCCUCAGCCAGCGGCUCCUCCCACUGCUACACUUGCACACAUCCACCAAUACACACGGAAGCCGGCAGGGAGCCCCCGAGUCACCCCAAGCGUUCCCAAAAAGUGGGCACAGCAACUUCUGCUGGGGCCUCUGACCCAUUCACCUGGGAGCCAGGCCCCAGGGGACCCAUUCACCUGGGAGCCAGGCUCAGCCGGGUUCCACAGGAUCCUUGUCCACACUGCCCCAGUCAGGCAGGUUACUCCUCAAGCUGUGUCUCUCUCAAUGGAAUCUACGUGGUGCGCACAUGCGUGAGCACACACACGUGAUCAACUGGCAUUAGGGAUUUGGAUUCAGAAAGUUCAUGAAGUGCCAAUGCCCUGAAAGGGGUGGUGGUCUCUGAGCUGCCUUCCCCUCCAACUCCAACCCCAUCAAUAUGCCACGGCGCUAGGGCAGACAGCUUCCAUCCAUCAUGGGGGUGGGGAGGCAGGCCGCAAGGCAGGACUCUUUGUAUCCCUUAAGUGUGUGUGUCCCUCCCCAAGCAGCUGCCAGGACUUACUAGAUGUUUUAAAAAAGGGCAGGGAGGUGGGAGGCGUUUUAGGAUGGAGAAGAGUGGGCUGCGCUGCUUGUAAAUGAGUCAGACUAGAAGCCCAUAGGCCAGGCCACUCAGGCAGGUGGCCUCCACCCCAAACACAUCGUAUCUACAGCAACGUUCACAAACAUCAGACCUUGGUAGCAAUGACCUACUGCCACCACCUGCCCCAGCACUAGAACAGGUGAGAGGAGUGCCUGGGGAAGAACUCAGCCUGCCAGUCCCUAAGAGUCAUCAGCAAACACUUCAAGAGGGCGUUACCUGCACCAGGCCCACCCUAGGCCCUCCAUUCAGAGAACUCAGAUGUGCUGUGACCACUCCCAUUUUACGGGUGAGGAAACUGAGGCCACACACCUAGCGAAGGGAGCUGGGGUGUGUACCAAGGCAGGCAGGCUCCAAGGCUCACCAUCCCCUAGGUGGUAUGGCCUCUGCCAGGGAUGGAGAAGUGCAAUCUGCCUUCUCUUCACUCCCUUGGCUUAAACGCAAUCAAAUGUCUGAAAACUGUCAUUUCCCCAGCCUUCCAGACCCAGGAAGCCCAAGGCCCUCUCCACUUCAUCUCCACGGACUACCCACCCC